UGUGACUGUUCGGAAAGGCUUGGUGCCUGUUCGGGAAAGGCCAUGCCUUUUUCUGAACAAAAAGAUUAUCAAUCAAUCAGAUCAUUUGACCAAAUCCAAAUCCAAAUCCGAAGCCGAGGCCGAGCCGAGCGACGACGACGGCGCGAGGGGAGUCCCUCUUCUUAACCCUUUAAGAGCUAGAAGAAGUGCUUUCUAAUAUAAGCACAUAACUUUCCCUU
rnacentral:lncRNA from 1 species